rnacentral:rRNA from 1 species
UUUGAUCGUAGCUCAGAUUGAACGCUGGCGGGAUGCUUUACACAUACAAGUCCGAACGGCAACCUGGACUUCGGUCUGGUGGCGAGUGGCGAACGGGUGAGUAAUGUAUCGGAACGUGCCUAGUAGCGGGGGAUAACUACGCCGAAAGCGUAGCUAAUACCGCAUACGCCCUUCAGGGGGAAAGCGGGGACGCUUCCAGGCCUCACUAUUAGAGCGGCCGAUAUCGGAUUGGCUAGUUGGUGGAGUAACGGCUCACCAGAGCGGCCGAUCCAUCGCUGGUUGAGAGGACGACCAGCCUGGGACUACAGGCCGGCCCGGGCUCACGGGAGGCGGCAGUGGGGGAAUUUUGGACAAUGAAACCACUGAUCCAGCCAUCCCGCGUGUGCGAUGAAGGCCUUCGGGUUGUAAAGCACUUUUGGCAGGAAAGAAACGGCACGGGAUAAUACCCCGUCCCAGCUGACGGCACCUGCAGAGUAACACCGGCUAACUACGUGCCAGCAGCCGCGUUGUACGUAGGGUGCAAGCGUGUCGGAGCCUGGAAUAAAAGCUGUGCGCGAGCGGUUCGGAAGAAGAUGUGAAAUCCCAGAGCUUAACUUUGGAACUGCAUUUUUAACUACCGAGCUAGAAGAGUGUGUCAGGAGGAGGUGGAAUUCCGCUGAUGUGAUGAAAUGCGUAGAUAUGGAGAACACCAGUGGCGGCAGCCUCCUGAAUGUUUGACGCUCAUGCACGAAAGCGUGAGAGCAACAAGGAUUGAUCACCUGGUGGUGUUCACCUUCGAGCGAUGUCAACUAGCUGUUGAAGGCCAUUCAGACGUAGCAUUAGCGCAACUAACGCGCUGAAAUUUAUUCGCCUACCGGAUGAUGCCGUUAAAACUCAAAAGGGAAUUGACGGGGACCCGCACGGCGAGACUGGAUGAUGGAUUAAUUCGAUGCAACGCGAAAAACCUUACCUACCUUGACAUGUCUGGAGUCCCGAAGAGAUUUGGGAACAUACUUGAGAACCGGAACACAGGUGCUGCAUGGCUGUCGUCAGCUCGUGUGUGAGAUGUUGGAUUAGUCCGCAACGAGCGCAACCCUUGUCAUUAGUUGCUACGAAAGGGCACUCUAAUGAGACUGCCGGUGACAAACCGGAGGAAGGUGGGGAUGACGUCGAGUCCUCAUCGGCCCUUAUGGGUAGGGCUACCACGUCAUACAAUGGUCGGGACAGAGGGUCGCCCGAGAGGCCAAUCCCGAAACGAUCAUGAGUCGGAUCAUGAUCUGCAACUCGACUGCGUGAAGUCGGAAUCGCUAGUAAUCGCGGAUCAGCAUGUCGCGGUAGAAUACGUUCGGUGUACACUGUAUCACCAUGGGAGUGGGUUUUACCAGAAUGGUCUUCAACUUAUCUGGAAGGCGAUUAUUACGGUAAGUUCAUGGCUAGGGUGAAGUCGUAACAAAGGUAA